UACGUAGGGUGCGAGCGUUGUCCGGAAUUAUUGGGCGUAAAGAGCUCGUAGGCGGUCUGUCGCGUCGGCUGUGAAAACCUGGGGCUCAACUCCGGGCCUGCAGCCGAUACGGGCAGACUAGAAUUCGGUAGGGGAGACUGGAAUUCCUGGUGUAGCGGUGAAAUGCCGCAGAUAUCAGGAGGAACACCGGUGGCGAAGGCGGGUCUCUGGGCCGAUAUUGACGCUGAGGAGCGAAAGCGUGGGGAGCGAACAGG
rnacentral:rRNA from 1 species